rnacentral:rRNA from 1 species
CCUACGGGGGGCAGCAGUGGGGAAUAUUGCACAAUGGGGGAAACCCUGAUGCAGCGACGCCGCGUGAUUGAAGAAGUAUUUCGGUACGUAAAGCUCUAUCAUCAGGGAAGAAAAUGACGGUACCUGACUAAGAAGCCCCUGCUAAAUACGUGCCAGCAGCCGCGGUAAUACGUAGGGGGCAGGCGUUAUCCUGAUUUACUGGGGGGAAAGGGAGCGGAGACGGCGGGGCAAGUGUGAAGUGAAAUCCCAUGGCUUAACCAUGGAACUGCUUUUGAAACUGUGCAGCUUGAGUGCAGGAGAGGUAAGCGGAAUUCCGAGUGUAGCGGUGAAAUGCGUAGAUAUUAGGAGGAACACCAGUGGCGAAGGCGGCUUACUGGACUGUAACUGACGUUGAGGCUCGAAAGCGUGGGGAGCAAACAGGAUUAGAUACCCUUGUAGUC